GACGAACGCUGGCGGCGUGCUUAACACAUGCAAGUCGAACGGAAAGGCCCUGCUUUUGUGGGGUGCGCGAGGGGCGAACGGGUGAGUAACACGUGAGUAACCUGCCCUUGACGGUGGGAUAACGUCAGGAAACGGGGGCUAAUACCGGGUAGGAGCUCCUGCUGCAUGGGGGGGGUUGGCAAGGGUGGGCGGGGUGGGAUGGACGGGCGGCUUGUCAGCUUGUGGGUGGGGUGGUGGCUUACCAAGGCAUUGACGGGUAGCCGGCCUGAGAGGGCGACCGGCCCCCUUGGGACUGAGAUACGGCCCAGACGCCUACGGGGGGCAGCGGUGGGGAAUGUUGCACAAUGGGCGGGAGCCUGAUGCAGCAACGCCGCGUGCGGGAUGACGGCCUUCGGGUUGUAAACCGCUUUCAGCAGGGGCGAAGCUUGUGGUGACGGUACCUGCAGAAGAAGCACCGGCUAACUACGUG
rnacentral:rRNA from 1 species